GCCCAUAUCGCAUAGUGGUAUUGCACGAGACUGGAACUCUCGGCCCUCCGGGGCUCCCAGGUUCAAUUCCUGGUGUGGGCG
rnacentral:tRNA from 1 species